rnacentral:rRNA from 1 species
UACGUAGGGUGCGAGCGUUAAUCGGAAUUACUGGGCGUAAAGCGUGCGCAGGCGGUGAUGUAAGACCGAUGUGAAAUCCCCGGGCUUAACCUGGGAACUGCAUUGGUGACUGCAUUGCUGGAGUAUGGCAGAGGGGGGUGGAAUUCCACGUGUAGCAGUGAAAUGCGUAGAGAUGUGGAGGAACACCGAUGGCGAAGGCAGCCCCCUGGGCUAACACUGACGCUCAUGCACGAAAGCGUGGGGAGCAAACAGG